rnacentral:rRNA from 1 species
GGCGAACGCUGGCGGCGUGCUUAACACAUGCAAGUCGAACGGAAAGGCCCUGCUUUUGUGGGGUGCUCGAGUGGCGAACGGGUGUGUAACACGUGAGUAACCUGCCCUUGACUUUGGGAUAACUUCAGGAAACUGGGGCUAAUACCGGAUAGGAGCUCCUGCUGCAUGGUGGGGGUUGGAAAGUUUCGGCGGUUGGGGAUGGACUCGCGGCUUAUCAGCUUGUUGGUGGGGUAGUGGCUUACCAAGGCUUUGACGGGUAGCCGGCCUGAGAGGGUGACCGGCCACAUUGGGACUGAGAUACGGCCCAGACUCCUACGGGAGGCAGCAGUGGGGAAUAUUGCACAAUGGGCGGAAGCCUGAUGCAGCAACGCCGCGUGCGGGAUGACGGCCUUCGGGUUGUAAACCGCUUUCGCCUGUGACGAAGCGUGAGUGACGGUAAUGGGUAAAGAAGCACCGGCUAACUACGUG